rnacentral:rRNA from 1 species
UACAGAGGGGGCAAGCGUUAUUCGGAAUUAUUGGGCGUAAAGGGCGCGUAGGCGGCUUUGCAAGUGACGGGUGAAAGCCCUCGGCUUAACCGAGGAACUGCCUGUCAGACUGUAAGGCUUGAGACCGGGAGAGGUGAGUGGAAUUCCCAGUGUAGCGGUGAAAUUCGUAGAUAUUGGGAAGAACACCAGUGGCGAAGGCGGCUCACUGGCCCGUAACUGACGCUGAGGUGCGAAAGCGUGGGGAGCAAACAGG